AGAGUUUGAUCCUGGCUCAGGAUGAACGCUGGCGGCGUGCCUAACACAUGCAAGUCGAACGUUAGGAAGUAGCAAUACUUCCAAAAGUGGCGAACGGGUGAGUAACACGUGGGUAAUCUGCCGCGCAGAGGGGGAUAACGACUGGAAACGGUCGCUAACACCGCAUGGUACCACUUUGACGGGAGUCUGAGUGGUUAAAACCUGGGUAACACCAUGAUGCUGCGCGAGGAGCCUGCGUCCGAUUAGCUAGUUGGUGAGGUAAUGGCUCACCAAGGCCUUGAUCGGUAGCUGGUCUGAGAGGAUGAUCAGUCACACGGGAACUGAGACACGGUCCCGACUCCUACGGGGGGCAGCAGUGAGGAAUAUUGCACAAUGGACGCAAGUCUGAUGCAGCAACGCCGCGUGGAGGAUGAAGGUUUUCGGAUCGUAAACUCCUUUUCUCAGGGAAGAGCAGGGACGGUACCUGAGGAAUAAGUCACGGCUAACUACGUGCCAGCAGCCGCGGUAAUACGUAGGUGGCAAGCGUUAUCCGGAAUUACUGGGCGUAAAGCGCACGCAGGUGGUUUCUUAAGUUUGACGUGAAAGCUCUUGGCUCAACCGGGAGAGGUCGUUGAAGACUGGGAGACUUGAGGCAAUGAGAGGGAUGCAGAAUUCACGGUGUAGUGGUGGAAUGCGUAGAUAUCGUGAGGAAUACCAGUGGCGAAAGCGGCAUCCUGGCAUUAGCCUGACGCUGAUGUGCGAAAGCGUGGGGAGCGAACGGGAUUAGAUACCCUAGUAGUCC
rnacentral:rRNA from 1 species